rnacentral:rRNA from 1 species
GUGGGGAAUAUUGGACAAUGGGCGAAAGCCUGAUCCAGCAAUGCCGCGUGAGUGAUGAAGGCCCUAGGGUUGUAAAGCUCUUUUACCCGGGAUGAUAAUGACAGUACCGGGAGAAUAAGCUCCGGCUAACUCCGUGCCAGCAGCCGCGGUAAUACGGAGGGAGCUAGCGUUGUUCGGAAUUACUGGGCGUAAAGCGCGCGUAGGCGGUUUUCCAAGUCAGGGGUGAAAGCCCGGGGCUCAACCCCGGAAUAGCCCUUGAAACUGGAAGACUAGAAUCUUGGAGAGGUCAGUGGAAUUCCGAGUGUAGAGGUGAAAUUCGUAGAUAUUCGGAAGAACACCAGUGGCGAAGGCGACUGACUGGACAAGUAUUGACGCUGAGGUGCGAAAGCGUGGGGAGCAAACAGGAUUAGAAACCCGAGUAGUCC